UCGGGGGUAGUUCAGUGGUAGAGCGCUUGCCUAGCAAGCACAAAGCCCUGGGUUCGGUCCUCAGCUCCAGAA
rfam:Rattus norvegicus chromosome 6, whole genome shotgun sequence.